CGGCGAACAGCCUGUGAUGCCUCGCACCGAGGAAUCACAGUGCUUUCGUCCAGC
rnacentral:pre_miRNA from 1 species